AGACCCGAAACCCGGUGAUCUAGCCAUGGGCAGGUUGAAGGUUGGGUAACACUAACUGGAGGACCGAACCGACUAAUGUUGAAAAAUUAGCGGAUGACCUGUGGCUGGGGGUGAAAGGCCAAUCAAACCGGGAGAUAGCUGGUUCUCCCCGAAAGCUAUUUAGGUAGCGCCUCGUGAAUUCAUCUCCGGGGGUAGAGCACUGUUUCGGCUAGGGGGCCAUCCCGGCUUACCAACCCGAUGCAAACUGCGAAUACCGGAGAAUGUUAUCACGGGAGACACACGGCGGGUGCUAACGUCCGUCGUGAAGAGGGAAACAACCCAGACCGCCAGCUAAGGUCCCAAAGUCAUGGUUAAGUGGGAAACGAUGUGGGAAGGCCCAGACAGCCAGGAUGUUGGCUUAGAAGCAGCCAUCAUUUAAAGAAAGCGUAAUAGCUCACUGGUCGAGUCGGCCUGCGCGGAAGAUGUAACGGGGCUAAACCAUGCACCGAAGCUGCGGCAGCGAACGUAUCACCCAAGACAACUUUACGGAGUUGACGAUUGACGGAGCGAAGCGACGUCAAAGCGUUCAUUAAAGUCGAGUUGGCUUAGGGAUACGUUCGUUGGGUAGGGGAGCGUUCUGUAAGCCUGUGAAGGUGGCCUGUGAGGGUUGCUGGAGGUAUCAGAAGUGCGAAUGCUGACAUAAGUAACGAUAAA
rnacentral:rRNA from 2 species